rnacentral:rRNA from 1 species
UACGUAGGGGGCAAACGUUGUCCGGAUUUACUGGGUGUAAAGGGUGCUCAGGCGGUCUUGUAAGUUAGAAGUGAAAUCCUAGGGCUCAACUCUGGAACUGCUUUUAAUACUGCAAGGCUUGAAUAUGGAAGAGGAGGGUGGAAUUUCUGGUGUAGCAGUGAAAUGCGUAGAUAUCAGAAAGAACACCAGUGGCGAAGGCGGCCCUCUGGUCCAUUAUUGACGCUAAAGCACGAAAUCGUGGGGAGCAAACAGG